rnacentral:rRNA from 1 species
GGACUACAAGGGUAUCUAAUCCUGUUUGCUCCCCACGCUUUCGCGUCUCAGCGUCAGUACCGUCCCAGCGAGCUGCCUUCGCCAUUGGUGUUCCUCCUGAUAUCUGCGCAUUUCACCGCUACACCAGGAAUUCCACUCGCCCCUUCCGGACUCUAGCCUCACAGUAUCCACCGGCAUCCCAGGGUUGAGCCCUGGACUUUCACAGCGGACUGAUGAGGCCGCCUACACGCUCUUUACGCCCAAUGAUUCCGGACAACGCUUGCACCCUACGUAUUACCGCGGCUGCUGGCAC